rnacentral:rRNA from 1 species
AUUGAACGCUGGCGGCAGGCUUAACACAUGCAAGUCGAGCGGAGUGAUGGUGCUUGCACUAUCACUUAGCGGCGGACGGGUGAGUAAUGCUUAGGAAUCUGCCUAUUAGUGGGGGACAACAUCUCGAAAGGGAUGCUAAUACCGCAUACGUCCUACGGGAGAAAGCAGGGGAUCACUUGUGACCUUGCGCUAAUAGAUGAGCCUAAGUCGGAUUAGCUAGUUGGUGGGGUAAAGGCCUACCAAGGCGACGAUCUGUAGCGGGUCUGAGAGGAUGAUCCGCCACACUGGGACUGAGACACGGCCCAGACUCCUACGGGAGGCAGCAGUGGGGAAUAUUGGACAAUGGGGGGAACCCUGAUCCAGCCACGCCGCGUGUGCGAAGAAGGCCUUAUGGUUGUAAAGCACUUUAAGCGAGGAGGAGGCUCUUUUGGUUAAUACCCAAGAUGAGUGGACGUUACUCGCAGAAUAAGCACCGGCUAACUCUGUGCCAGCAGCCGCCGUAA